rnacentral:rRNA from 1 species
UACGUAGGGAGCAAGCGUUGUUCGGAUUUACUGGGCGUAAAGGGCGCGUAGGCGGCAAAUUAAGUCAGCUGUGAAAUCUCCGAGCUUAACUCGGAACGGUCAGCUGAUACUGAUCUGCUAGAGUGCGGAAGGGGCAAUCGGAAUUCUUGGUGUAGCGGUGAAAUGCGUAGAUAUCAAGAGGAACACCGGUGGCGAAGGCGGUUCUCUGGGCAUGUUCUGACGCUGAGGAGCGAAAGUGUGGGGAGCGAACAGG